CUACUAUCAAGAAUCUGGAACAAGGUCAGCAGGACCCAAAAGCUUUUUUUCCAUUGUGAGAGAACGGGAGCCUCUAGGACCACCCAAUGUGAAUACUCGUUUAUUUUCCACGUGUGUGUGAUGCCAAGCAUUUUGAUGUAGGUCUGCGGGACCAGCCCUCAGGA